GACGAACGCUGGCGGCGUGCCUAAUACAUGCAAGUUGAGCGAUGAAGAUUGGUGCUUGCCCCAAUUUGAAGAGCAGCGAACGGGUGAGUAACGCGUGGGGAAUCUGCCUUUGAGCGGGGGACAACAUUUGGAAACGAAUGCUAAUACCGCAUAACAACUUUAAACAUAAGUUUUAAGUUUGAAAGAUGCAAUUGCAUCACUCAAAGAUGAUCCCGCGUUGUAUUAGCUAGUUGGUGAGGUAAAGGCUCACCAAGGCGAUGAUACAUAGCCGACCUGGGAGGGUGAUCGGCCACAUUGGGACUGAGACACGGCCCAAACUCCUACGGGAGGCAGCAGUAGGGAAACUUCGGCAAUGGACGAAAGUCUGACCGAGCAACGCCGCGUGAGUGAAGAAGGGUUUCGGAUCGUAAAACUCUGUUGGUAGAGAAGAACGUUGGUGAGAGUGGAAAGCUCAUCAAGUGACGGUAACUACACAGAAAGGGACGGCUAACUACGUG
rnacentral:rRNA from 1 species